CCUACGGGAGGCAGCAGUGGGGAAUAUUGGGCAAUGGGCGCAAGCCUGACCCAGCGACGCCGCGUGCAGGAAGAAGGCUUUCGGGUUGUAAACUUCUUUUCUCAGGGACGAAACAAGUGACGCUCCCUGAUGAAUAAGCCACGGCUAACUACGAGCCAGCAGCCGCGGUAAUACGUAGGUGGCAAGCGUUAUCCGGAUUUACUGGGUGUAAAGGGCGUGUAGGCGGGACUGCAAGUCAGAGGUGAAAACCAUGGGCUCAACCUAUGACCUGCAUUUGAUACUGUAGUUCUUGAGUACUGGAGAGGCAGACGGAAUUCCUAGUGUAGCGGUGAAAUGCGUAGAGAUUA
rnacentral:rRNA from 1 species